GUGCUCGUCUAUUUUCCCCAUUGUGCCUGCACUCCGUGAAAUGAGGAACAGCGUCCCAGUCCUGCUUUUCUUUCCCACCUACAGGAGAUUCCUCCCGGGAAGCUGAGCCUCUCCCUGUCCACCUCCAGCCCGGAAUCCUGGUGGGCUCUGGUUGCAGAGGGGGUCCUGGGAGCUGCCUCCCUUUGGCUGUGCUGGGACAGACCCUUCUAGCCUGGUGGUGACCUGCAGGACAGACUGAAUGGCUGACAACCCUGGGACAUGACCAACUCUCUGAACCCCCCACAGUCACUACCCGUCACCAUGGCACUCUCCUGGGCUCAGCCAAGUCCACUCCAGGUGUUCCCAGUCCCUGGCCAUUUCUCAACCAGGAGAUGACACGCCGGGACAGUUCAGUGAGGGUUCUGGGAGUCGGUAUCCUCUGCUAAAGGUUCACUAUUUCUCAGAAGUUCAAAAGCAAAGGACCAGGAUAUGAAUCCCGGAAACAAGACUAGUUCUGGCAUUGUCCUCCCAGGACCACUCAAAUGACAACCUGAACUUGUUAGGGGAUGGCCAAGUCCACCUUCACGUUGCCAUUACAUCCCGCUCUCAAAUGUCUCCUCCCCCCGAGGCUUUCCCGGACACAGAGGUGUCCCACCAACUCCAUGAUAGCCUGGGAAAGUGGAAGCUGGGAUGAUGGCGAUGUGAUUUCUAACCCGGCAGACCCUGGAUUU